rnacentral:tRNA from 1 species
GCCUCUGUGGCGCAGUGGUAGUGCGUUGGUCUAUGACACCGGAGGUGCGGGUUCGAAUCCCGGCCAGGGCA